rnacentral:pre_miRNA from 1 species
CUCAUACUCCCUCCAUUCCAAAUUACUCGUCGCAGAAAUGGAUGUAUCUAGAACUAAAAUACAUCUAGAUACAUCCAUUUCUGCGACGAGUAAUUUAGAACGGAGGGAGUAUAAU